AUUUGGUAAUGGGGACAGCUUGCACACAACUUCUUAAAUCUCUCCCAAUACUCAUACAAGCUCUCUCCAUUGUACUACCGGAUGCCACAAAUUUCUUUUUUCAUAUU